rnacentral:rRNA from 1 species
AGAGUUUGAUCCUGGCUCAGAACGAACGCUGGCGGCAGGCCUAACACAUGCAAGUCGAGCGAGACCUUCGGGUCUAGCGGCGGACGGGUUAGUAACGCGUGGGAACGUGCCCUUUACUACGGAAUAGUCCCGGGAAACUGGGUUUAAUACCGUAUACGCCCUUCGGGGGAAAGAUUUAUCGGUAAAGGAUCGGCCCGCGUUAGAUUAGAUAGUUGGUGGGGUAAUGGCCUACCAAGUCUACGAUCUAUAGCUGGUUUGAGAGGAUGAUCAGCAACACUGGGACUGAGACACGGCCCAGACUCCUACGGGAGGCAGCAGUGGGGAAUCUUGGACAAUGGGCGCAAGCCUGAUCCAGCCAUGCCGCGUGAGUGACGAAGGCCUUAGGGUCGUAAAGCUCUUUCGCCAGGGAUGAUAAUGACAGUACCUGGUAAAGAAACCCCGGCUAACUCCGUGCCAGCAGCCGCGGUAAUACGGAGGGGGUUAGCGUUGUUCGGAAUUACUGGGCGUAAAGCGCACGUAGGCGGACUGGAAAGUUGGGGGUGAAAUCCCGGGGCUCAACCUCGGAACUGCCUCCAAAACUACUAGUCUAGAGUUCGAGAGAGGUGAGUGGAAUUCCGAGUGUAGAGGUGAAAUUCGUAGAUAUUCGGAGGAACACCAGUGGCGAAGGCGGCUCACUGGGCUCGAUACUGACGCUGAGGUGCGAAAGUGUGGGGAGCAAACAGGGUUAGAUACCCUGGUAGUCCACACCGUAAACGAUGAAUGCCAGUCGUCAGCAAGCAUGCUUGUUGGUGACACACCUAACGGAUUAAGGCAUUCCGCCUGGGGAGUACGGUCGCAAGAUUAAAACUCAAAGGAAUUUGACGGGGGGCCCGCACAAGCCGG